UACGUAGGGUGCAAGCGUUUGUCCGGAAUUAUUGGGCGUAAAGAGCUCGUAGGCGGUCUGUCGCGUCUGCUGUGAAAACCUAGGGCUUAACUCUGGGCGUGCAGUGGGUACGGGCAGGCUAGAGUGCGGUAGGGGAGACUGGAAUUCCUGGUGUAGCGGUGAAAUGCGCAGAUAUCAGGAGGAACACCGGUGGCGAAGGCGGGUUUCUGGGCCGUAACUGACGCUGAGGAGCGAAAGCAUGGGGAGCGAACAGG
rnacentral:rRNA from 1 species